rnacentral:rRNA from 1 species
CCUACGGGGGGCAGCAGUGAGGAAUAUUGGUCAAUGGACGAGAGUCUGAACCAGCCAAGUAGCGUGAAGGAUGACUGCCCUAUGGGUUGUAAACUUCUUUUAUAUGGGAAUAAAAUGUUCCACGUGUGGGAUUUUGUAUGUACCAUAUGAAUACGGAUCGGCUAACUCCGUGCCAGCAGCCGCGGUAAUACGGAGGAUCCGAGCGUUAUCCGGAUUUAUUGGGUUUAAAGGGAGCGUAGGUGGAUUGUUAAGUCAGUUGUGAAAGUUUGCGGCUCAACCGUUAAAUUGCAGUUGAAACUGGCAGUCUUGAGUACAGUAGAGGUGGGCGGAAUUCGUGGUGUAGCGGUGAAAUGCUUAGAUAUUACGAAGAACUCCGAUUGCGAAGGCAGUUCACUGGACUGCAACUGACACUGAGGCUCGAAAGUGUGGGUAUCAAACAGGAUUAGAUACCCUUGUAGUC